UUGAUAUUUAACCGAGUCCAUAUCAAUUGUUGCGAGAAGACCGUUGUAUUUCCUAAACCGGAGGAGAGUUUACAUUUGAUGAGUAAGAAGGAAGUAGUAGAGUCGUUGAAGGAACCUGUAGAGGUGUAUGCAUUGUUUGCAUCCUUGAAGAUGGAAGGUGAAGUUAAGGUGGAAGAGUUACCGGUUGCUUGUGAAUUUCCCGAUGUAUUUCCGGAAGACGUGUCAGAUGUACCGCCGAAGAGAGAAGUAGA
rnacentral:lncRNA from 1 species